rnacentral:rRNA from 1 species
GAAUUCGCCCUUAGAGUUUGAUCCUGGCUCAGGAUGAACGCUGGCGGCGUGCCUAACACAUGCAAGUCGAGCGAUUCUCUUCGGAGAAGAGCGGCGGACGGGUGAGUAACGCGUGGGUAACCUGCCCUGUACACACGGAUAACAUACCGAAAGGUAUGCUAAUACGAGAUAAUAUGCUUUUAUCGCAUGGUAGAAGUAUCAAAGCUUUUGCGGUACAGGAUGGACCCGCGUCUGAUUAGCUAGUUGGUAAGGUAACGGCUUACCAAGGCGACGAUCAGUAGCCAACCUGAGAGGGUGAUCGGCCACAUUGGAACUGAGACACGGUCCAAACUCCUACGGGAGGCAGCAGUGGGGAAUAUUGCACAAUGGGCGAAAGCCUGAUGCAGCAACGCCGCGUGAGCGAUGAAGGCCUUCGGGUCGUAAAGCUCUGUCCUCAAGGAAGAUAAUGACGGUACUUGAGGAGGAAGCCCCGGCUAACUACGUGCCAGCAGCCGCGGUAAUACGUAGGGGCUAGCGUUAUCCGGAUUUACUGGGUGUAAAGGGAGCGUAGACGGAAUGGCAAGUCUGAUGUGAAAGGCCGGGGCUCAACCCCGGGACUGCAUUGGAAACUGUCAAUCUAGAGUACCGGAGGGGUAAGUGGAAUUCCUAGUGUAGCGGUGAAAUGCGUAGAUAUUAGGAGGAACACCAGUGGCGAAGGCGGCUUACUGGACGGUAACUGACGUUGAGGCUCGAAAGCGUGGGGAGCAAACAGGAUUAGAUACCCUGGUAGUCCACGCCGUAAACGAUGAAUAUUAGGUGUUGGGGG